GCCCGCGGACCCCCGAGUCCUGACUCCUGGCGCGGGGGCCACCCGUUUGGCGGACAGAGCUGGGAAUCCCGAACCGCAGGGACACGUCUAGCCUCUGACUCGAAAGGGGGAAGUGAUCAGACCUGGUUCUGCUCGGCGGGAGGUUAGCAGAGGAACAAAGAUCCUACAUGUUUUUAGUAAAGAAAGCUGCAUUUGACAGUAAAGGAGAGCUGCAUCUGAGAAUCACAGGCCCAUCCCGCUGAUAAAGCCCAGAGCCACCUGCCCACCCCUAUGAUAUCAGAGGAUCUGAACCACCAGGACUGCUGCCAAGAUGCCUUCAGGGAAAAUACCAGCAAGCAUUGCACUCCCUGUCCAACCUGAGCAACCAGUAAGUGCAGCUUCUUGAGCUGAAGGAGAAAAGCAGGGGGAGACCUGAGACAGACAGAAAGCAGGAAGCAGUGUGACCACAGAGGCAGAGGCGGAAGUGAAGCCACCACAGAGCAAGGGAUGGUGACAGUCACCACAACCUGGAAGAGGGAAAGAAGGACUUCUCCCCCAGAGCCUGCAGAGGGGGUGUGGCCCUCACACUUCAACUGCAGUCUUCUGGAAUCCAGAACUGUGAGAAAAUGAAUUCUUUUUGUUUUAAGCCAGCUAAUUUGAGGUAAUUUGUUAUAGCAUCUUGGUAAAUUCACACAGUACCUAUAAGAAAAUCAUAAGUUAUCGAGGACUGAGAUAAAUGUCUGUUAUUUUUACUUGUCCAAUAUCCAACCUCCUAUCUUCUGUUAAUAGCCCCUGGAGCUUCCUUUUGACAUCUAGCUUUUUGCCACUGUCAGUCCAUAUGGGUUGGAUGGGCUGCCCCCACACUCACGCCAGCUCCAUUGGUUCAGGAAAGGACACAUGACUCAGGCCAGACCAGUGAGAUUCAGUUUUAAGAAGAUCCUAGAGUUCCUGGGAAGAAGCCCUUUCUCUCUUGAUUCCAAGUGGGCAGGUGUCACUUUGGUGCUGCUGGGGUCUUUAUGAGGGGGAAGCUUGCUGAGAGCAAAAUGGGUCCAGCAGAAAGUGGAAUCAGAGGGUGCAGACACACUGUGUCCUUGUAUCCUAGAGCCCCAGGACCAGCUUACCAGAAGAGGCUCUAUCUCCGGAAUUUCAACUUGUAGAUGCCAAGAAACACCCUUAUUUGCUUCAGUCAGUUUCUGUCCCUAACAAGUGAAAAAAUCCUACCCAGGACAAAGGUCAAAGUGUCUUGUAGCCAUGUUGCUUUGUUGUAACCAAUGUUUCUUUGAGAAAGUCAAUGAGAUAACCACCUGCACUUCUAGUGACUUGAGAAUGUGAACUCUUCCAAUAAAACUGCAAUUUUAGAUCAA